GAGCACUCUGCAGUUUACAAAGCGCUUUCACACACCUUGACUCAUUUCCACCCUACGACAACCCCGUGAGGUUGGGAUUAUCAUUCCCAGUCAAGAACUGAAGAGACUGAGCCCCUGAGAGUGGCUUGUCCACUAUUGUCACUGGUAGAUGGCCAAACUGUGACCGGAAGCCUGGUCUUCCUGCUCACAGACGGAGAAGAGCGUGUCCUGGGGCCCUCUCACUACCAGGCCCUUGUCAGUUGUUACCUGCAUACGUGAGGGAAGCUGAGGCUCGCUAGGUUUGCUUAGCAAUUUGCUCAGGGUCUCCAACCAGCUGGUGAGUGCUGUCAUGAGGGGCCGAACCCAUGUGGUUCUAACUCUAAAGUCAAUGGAUACAUGAAUUUAUUCGGUGAGAUCAUCAGCCGUUUGGUCCUGUCCAAAACAUCCAUAAGACAUUUGGUCCGUGCCAAAAGGUCCUUGAUAUUUGGUCAUAUUUAUUCUUGUCCAAAAUGUCUAUGGAGACAUUAGGUCCAUGCCAAAAGGUUCUUGACAUUUGGUCCUGUCCAAAACCAUUUGGCAUGGACCAAAUAUGCUCAUGGACAUUUUGGACAGGACCAAAGCUCAAGGACCUUUUGGCGUGGACCUAAUGUCUUAUGGACGUUUUGGACAGGACACCCUGCAAGGAUUAGGAUGCAUGGCCUCCCAAAUCCCAGGUCUUCUCCUUGACCCAGAGGGACUUCUCCAUGGGCACUGAGCUGUGGCUGGUCACCCUGUUGCAGUGGUUCCUAGUCUGUCGAGAGUCAUGAUUUCCAGCAUCACCCUUACCCUCGUCAUCACUUACUAGGUGCUUACUAUAUGCCAACGUCUUCACCAGGAACAUUAUGUAACUGAUGCUCUGGGCUGAAUGGUGUCCCCUCCAAAUGCAUGUGUACCUCAGUACCUCAGAUUAUGACUGUAUUUGAAGAUACGGUCUUUAAAGAGAUAACAAAUGUAAAAUGAGGUCAUUAGGGUGGGCCCUAGUUCAAUAUGACUGGUGUCCUUAUAAGAAGAGGAAAUUAGGACAUGGACGCACACAGAGGGAGAACCAUGUGAAGACACAGGGAGAAGACGACCAUCGGUAAGUCAAGGAGAGAAGCUACACAAAGAACCAAUCCUGCCGACACCUUGAUCUUGGACCUCUGGCCUCCGGAACUCCAAUAAGGCACUGUGCCUAAGAGAACACACCCACAGGAGGCAGCCUGUGUAGCCUGCCAUCUCAGCUGCCUCACUUGCCAGCUGUGGGACCUAGGGCAGGUUGCGUAACCUCUUGGCGCCUCUGUCUCCUCGUCCGGGAAGCACAGAAGUGUGUACCACAGAGCCCCUCGGGGGCUGUUGGCAGGACCACUGGGUCCAUGUGCCCAGAGCCCUCUGCAGCUUCCCUUCCAAGUGAGAGCUGCUCCUGCGCUGUCUUGGGAGAGCCGCCCCGGAGGCGUCAGGCUUCAGGAUGGAGCAGGAAGGCCAAGUUCUCUUCCCACUCACUCACAAGCUCUUGGCUUGCAUCUGCUUUACCCUCUCGGUCCUGCCAAUGACCUCUCUUUGACAGGGAAACUGAGGCUCAGAGAGGUAAGGAGCUGGCCCAAGAGAGAUCAGCGGAGUGAACGAGUUGGGCUCUGGUGUUGGGACCUGAUUUCUAGCACCACUUUGUGCUUUUCUAAGGCCUUUGUCACUCUGAGUCCAGGCUUUACUGUCUGUAAAAUGGGACAUGGGUGCCUUGAGCCAGCGGUGGGGUCGAAGGGUGGAAGGAAAGUAUAAAGAGCCUCAUGUGGAAGAUGCUAUGACAGUAGAAGUGUACUGUCUGGUUGCUCACUGGGGACGUGGCUUCUCCAACUUGACACUUCUAGUAAUUUGGGGGUUGCUGACUCCAGGGCAUACUACUGUCCAGGACCCGGAGCCUGCAAGAGUUGCUGUGGUAUUUCUGCCAGAGAGAGGAAGAGAAGAGAGAGACAGAGACAGAGACAAAGAGAGAGACAAAGAGAAACAGAGAGACAGAGAGGGACAAAGGUAGAGAGACAGAGACAGAGACAGAGACAGAGACAGAGACAGAGGCAGAGACAGAGAGAGAAACAGAGACAGAGACAAAAAGCCCAAGACAGAGAGACAGAGACAGACAGAUGGACAGACAGAGAGACAGAGAUAGAGAGACAGAGAUAGAGAGAGAAACAGAGAGAGAGAGAAAGACAGACAGACAGACAGCGAGCAGGCGAGCAGACAGCGGCAGCUCCUGUCUCCUGGACGCGUCUGGAGGGAGCCUGUGUGGGGCUCUGACCCCAGUGCGCUCAUGCAGGACGGGAAUGAAAGUCAGCGGUGGUGUCCUGGGACGUUGCUGCAGACCUGUGGUUCGCAAGCUGGGCUGCCCGUUAGAAUCCCUGGGCAGCUUUGAAGAAUUUCCGCGUCCCGGCUGCACCUUGACCGAUGACUUUCGAGUCUCCGUGGACCGGGCCUGGGCUGCUGGUGAGGCUUCCUUCUGAAGAACUGACUUCCGGCUGCCACAGCACUAAACAUAAAAGCCAAGAGACGGUCAUAAGGAAACGGGGGCGGGGAGAGCGCGUUUGUUGGAAUCUCUUCUUCCACGGUCACACACUGGCUGAACAUAGCCUGGAGAGGGACUCGGCUCUCAAGGACACGCGUGAUUUGGACUGACGAUCCAGGUUAGACACCGGGAAUCCAGGAUAACCGCCCAUCUCCAAGUACUUAACUUUACACACAUCUGCAAAGUCCCUCUUGCCAAGUAAAGUAAUAUUUUUCACAGGCUCCAGCGACUAGGAAUGGGGGCAUCUUUGAGGGGCUGUUAUUCUGCUCACCACAAGUGCUCAGCACAGUAAGGACUUGGGGAAGGUUAGUUAUGCUGAUCUCAUCUAGGUCAUCUAGCUCAGCUGGUUCUGCUAAUGACUUGGAGAGGCAGACACUGCUACACGCCCAGAUUCUGUCACUUCCUUGCUGUGUGAACUUCGGCUGGUUACUUAGCGUCUCUGAACCUCACUUUCCUUCUCUGUAUAAUGGAGGAUAAAGUACCAAUCUUACAGUGUUGUUUGUGAUAAUAAAGUGAAAUAAAGCCGCUUAGAGCAUUGUCUGGCAUGUAGUAAGCACUAAGAGGCAUCAUCUAAAAUAAUAUUAACAACAGCAGCAUCAGUAGCAUCAUCUUCAUCUUACACGAAGGAUGUAAUCGGCCAUUCACAGUUGCAAGGUCUGUUGCAGACGCAGGCCUGUGGCUCCAAGGUCUGUGCUUUCUUCAGGAGCGAGAAAGGGACCUGUGGGCUCCUCAGGGAAGAAUGAAGGCCGGGGGUGGACUCUCCAAGAAGCAGAUUUCAGCUCAAUGAAAGAACUUUCUAUUAGGCCAGUUGUCUGGCAAAGGUGAGCCUCCUUUCCUGGGGGCUGCACAGAGACCCCCCACGGUCCCUUCUUCCAACUCCAGAGUCUCUGAGUAGGGUCUUCAGGAUGCAUUUGGCUGGCUUCCCGACCUCCUGCAGGAACGGGGCUGACCAGGUGCCGGGAGCUCCCUGUGGAGCGGGGUGGCGAGGGCUUCUGUGAGAAAGGCGUAGCUUCUGGUCUCCCCUCUGCACUCAUCUUCCAUUUCUCAGGACACCCUGUGGCUGGGCUGUUGGCAGAGGCCAUGGGAGUUCGCCAACAUACGAGCGGAAGGACAGACAUGGCAGCCCCUGCUAGAUCUUUGGUUUCUCACCCUUCAUUCUACAGAUGAGGAAACUGAGGCCCAGAGAGGUGCUGGGGUUUGCCUGAGGUCGGUCGUAAUGCAAGUGGGAAGAGACCUGGGACUGGAAUCCAGAUCUUGCAGCUCGCAGGAACAGCUUCUCUGUCCUCCAUCCCUCCCAGUACAGACGUACUGCAUGAGAGACACUGUGCCAGAUGCUCCCUUUUCAGCAGAGAAAAGAUACACACCCUCCCCUGCAUCCAAGCUCUGUGGAUUUCCUCCCCUGACAGUCCAUCCUUGGGGGCCUCCUGUCGAUCACCCCAGUGUGCCGAACGCUUUUCAGCCUCCAGGCCUUUGUCCCUGCUGUUCCUGCUGCUGGAGCCCCUUCUCCCUGCUCCGUGCAUGGCUCACUCCUUUCCUUCCCAGCACCUGGCCGGAUCCAUGGUGCCUGCCUCUUCUCUCUCUCUGGGGCUCGUUUUGCUUCCUUCGCUGGCUCCCACACAGCAGUCUGCUUGAGCUGAUUUCUUGCUCAUCAUCCGUGCCUCCUCUAGGCUCGGAGCCCCCUUAGGGCAGGGACUCUGUCACUGUUCCCACCACCAUGUCUCCACGGGCUCUGUGCUUGAAAUGUACCUGGUGACUGACUAAAUCAAUGUCUGCUUUCCAGUGGGCAAAAGAGUUAUUAACAAGGCGUCCUGCACAUGAGUAAGUAAUUAUGAAUUGUGGGAACUGCUGGGAGCGGGGUCUGCAGUGCUCCCGGGGGCCCGAUAUGUGGGGACCUGCCCCUGCUGGGUCUCCGCCAGGGCACUGAGACCUUGGGGCAGCAGUGGGUUCCUCUGAGGAGGAGCCCUGAUCCCCCAGACCAGGGCAGGCCUCCCGUCCUGUGGCUUGAUAGCUCCCUAGAGGCUUUCUUUACAGCACUCAUUGCAAUGAUACCCAUGUACACAGUUAGUUCUAUUUUUAUUGUGGUUAAAACCCCAUAGCAUACAUUUUACCAUUAGUGACAUUUAGCGCAUUCACAAUACUGCUCAAACAUCACUGCUGUCUGGUUCCAGACAUUUUUCAUCAUCUCCAAAGGAAGCCUCACACACUUUAAGCGGUCCCUUCCCGUGCUCCCACCCCGCGCCCCUGGCAACUGCUAAUCUACUUUCUGUCUCUAUGAAUUUGCCUAAUCUGGAUGUUUUAUAUUCAUCGAAUGAAAUUAGUAUUUAAAAAAAAUUUUUUUCUGUGUCAUCAUCUCCCCCAGGGUAGGAAUUGUGUCUGUCUGCCUGGCUUGCCUUUGCCGAGUUCUGGGCACAGACAAACAGCCGUGGCGGCACAGGAGGACGUUUUCUCCACCGCGCGUCUGUGAGCUCAUAGGAGGUGGGCUGUGCGUCUUAUAGGACCAGCGGCGUGCGCGUGCUCAGGUUCAGUUCCUCCAGCUGCCUCUUGCUGGAUCAAGUGUUACCUGAGGACAGUUGCUUAAUACCUCGAAGCAUCCAUUUCUUCAUCAAUAAAAAGUAGAUAGUGGUGAUGUUCGCCGCCUUGGGGUGACAUGAGGACAGAUGACCUGCCGCUGGCGCCAGGGCCUGGCCAGGAGCAGAAACUCAUGAACGUGAGCUAUUGUUAUUAUUUUCCAAGUUUUCAAUCCCAUGCUUUAGGAUAGAUAAUGAGCAGAGUCCGAACUCAGCAAAUGCAUUUUAGUUGGAAUGAUGCGUAAGAGGGUUUAAAAAUUAGGCCAGUGGACGUUCAGGUCAAAACUGCAGAUAGCUCAUUUGGGGUAAAGACAAGAAAGAGACCCCUUGCAUUAGCUUUUGCUAAGUUAUUCUACGAUGAUGAACAUCAACAACCUGGCAGAGGCUUACAGCCAUAGGGGUUGGCUUUGCUUUCUUUGUGGGUCCCUGUGGACCAGUUGUGGCUCUGCUCCUGUGUCUUUUCAUUCCAGGGUCCAGGCUGAGGAAGCUGACCUCACAUCUGGGAUGUGCCACUCCUGUGCCAGAGGGAAGAGGCAGGGAUGGCUGACAUCGUUACCACUCACAUCCGGAGGCUACGCCCAUCACAUUGCCAAGCUUGGUGUCUGGGGUGGGGGCAGGGCAGGGACUGUACUGCCCUCCUCCAAGCGGGCACCGCAGGUAGCCGAGCAGGGAGUAGGGAUGGAUAAUCCUCUCCCAGGGAGGGCAGCCAAUAACUGGGAAUAAUCAUAGGCGGGCCACCCUCUGCCCUGAGAGCUUUAGUUAUUUUGGGGGCGUGGUCUGACGCAUCUCUUCAGCUCGCUCACUUCAGUGCUCCACCUACAACCCAGCACCAUCACCCUAGGAGAUUUGGGGGGCUGUCAACUAAGAAUGGGUACAGUGAGUGGUCUGUGAGGGUCUCUUGCUCUGCAGAUUUGGUCCAUACACUGAAACCUAUGAAACCCCCUUCUUGGCAGUGUUAUCUAUGGUAGUAGAAAACGAGGAAUAGCCUAAAUAUCCCUCAAUAGGGGAAUGACAAGUGAACAGUGUUUUGUUCAUGCAAGGGCAUCUCUACUACCAUUGAAAUAGAUGAACCACAGCUAAAUAUUAAAUUGGAAGACUCUCCAAAAUGUAAUGGUGAGUGGAAAAAGCAGAUGUAGGAUGAUAUCAAUAGAAAAACAUGCAGUCUUUGAAACAGGGAAUUCCUCAAAAUGUUAAACACUGAGUUACCAUAUGACCCGGUAAUUCUGCUCCUAGGCAUACACCCAAGAGAAUUGAAAACACUUGUCCACACCAAAACUUGCAUAUGAAUGUUCAUGGCAGCAUUAUUCAUAACAGCCAAAAAGUGGAAACAAUUGAAAUGCCUACCAAUAGACGAAUGGAUAAAAAAAUGUGGUAUAUCCACGAAAUGGAAUACAAUUCAGCCAUAGAAAAGAGUAAAGUAUUGAUACAUGGUACAUGGAUGAAUCUUGCAAACAUUCUGCUAAGUGGAAGAAGCCAGACUCAAAAGACCAUAGAUUGUAUUAUUCCGUUUAUAGUAAAUGUUCAGAAUAGGCCAAUCUGUAGAGAUAUAAAUAAGAUUCGUGGUUGCUAGGGGCGGGGGAGAGGAGGGAGUGACUGCUGAAAGGGUACAGGGGUUCCUUUUGUGGUGACGAAAAUGUUCUGGAACUGGAGAGUGGUAAUGGUUGCGCAAAAUUGUGAAUAUAUGAAAUGACACUGGAUUUUGUACGGCAACCUCCCUUGUCCACAGGGGAAACGUUCCAGGACCCCCAGCGGAUUCCUGAAACCGAGGAUAGACUGAACUCUACAUAUGCUAUGCUUUUUCAUAUAUAUACACGCUUAUGAUAAAGUUUAAUUUGUAAAUUGGGCACUGUACAAGAUUAACAACGGUAACUAAUAAUAAAGUAGAACAAUCAUAAUGAUAUUAUGUGAUAAAAGUUACUGUGGAUCUUAGCCACCUCUGCAUAUAAUUUUUUUCUUUCCUUAUUAAGUUGAGAGCUUUCGCCUUUUCGCUUAAAGGAAGCACUGUUUGGCUUCUCUUUGGCAACUCCGAACUACCAGCAUCCCUGCUCUUGCACUUGGAGGAGGUAAAAUAAGGGUGACUUGAACGUGAGCACUGUGACACAGUGACAGUCAAUCUGAUACCGAGCUGGCUACUAAGUGACUGACGGGCGGUAGCGUAUAGAGCGUGGAUACGCUGGACACAGGGAUGGUUCACAAUCCGGGCGGGAUGGAGCAGAAUGGCGCGAGAUGUCGUCACAUUACCCAGAACGACAUGCAAUUUAAAACUUAGGAAUUGUUUACUUCUGGAAUUUUCCAUUUAAUAUUUUCAGACCGUGGUUGACCGCAGGUACCUGAAACCUCAGAUGAGGGGACUACUGUACUUGAAAAUGAUUAAAAUGACCUGGAACUUUGACUCUGAUCAAUGAAUUCCAUCUUCCAGAGGCAGACUGAUGGGCUGGGCAUUUUCCUCUCGGAUAAUUGCUUUUUUUUCCCUUUGUUUGGUGGAAGACAGAAUUUUCCUUUUAGGCCCAAACUAUUCAAAGAUAAGGUAGUAAACUUAUUUUCUCAGUUCGUGAUUUUUUAAAUGAAUUAUUCCAUCAUCAUUAUAAGCAAUUCUCCAAUCUAU
rnacentral:lncRNA from 1 species